UGAGGAAUAUUGGGCAAUGCCCGCAAGGGUGACCCAGCAACGCCGCGUGGAGGAUGAAUGUCGUAAGAUUGUAAACUCCUGUUAGAGGGGAAGAAUAGUACCGGUUGGACCGGUAUAUGACUGUACCCUCAGAGGAAGCCCCGGCUAACUACGUGCCAGCAGCCGCGGUAAUACGUAGGGGGCAAGCGUUGUCCGGAUUUACUGGGUGUAAAGGGCGCGCAGGCGGGAUAAAAAGUCAGUGGUGAAAUCCUACAGCUUAACUGUAGAACUGCCUUUGAUACUUUUAUUCUUGAGUUCGGGAGAGAGAGACGGAAUUCCAGGUGUAGUGGUGAAAUACGUAGAUAUCUGGAAGAACACCAGUUGCGAAGGCGGUCUCUAGGUCCGACACUGACGCUGAGGCGCGAAAGCGUGGGGAGCAAACA
rnacentral:rRNA from 1 species